ACGAACGCUGGCGGCGCGCCUAACACAUGCAAGUCGAGCGGUUCCCGCAAGGGAGCAGCGGCGGACGGGUGCGAAACACGUGGGUAAUCUACCUCUCGAUUCGGGAUAACCUGUCGAAAGACGAGCUAAUACCGGAUAAGCGUACGCGGUCGAAUGACCGAGUGCGAAAAGGCGCAAGCCGGCGAGAGAUGAGCCCGCGGCCCAUCAGGUAGUUGGCGGGGUAAAAGCCCACCAAGCCUACGACGGGUAGCUGGUCUGAGAGGACGACCAGCCACACUGGAACUGAGACACGGUCCAGACUCCUACGGGAGGCAGCAGUGGGGAAUCUUGCGCAAUGGGCGAAAGCCUGACGCAGCGACGCCGCGUGUGUGAUGAAGGUCUUCGGAUCGUAAAGCACUGUCGCCCGGGAAAAAGAAAGUGAUGGUACCGGGAAAGGAAGCACCGGCUAACUCUGUGCCAGCCG
rnacentral:rRNA from 1 species